rnacentral:tRNA from 1 species
GGGCCCGUAGCUCAGCCAGGUUAGAGCGGCGGGCUCCAGACCCGUAGGUCGGGGGUUCGAGUCCCUCCGGGCCCA